rnacentral:lncRNA from 1 species
CACUGUUGUCUAUAAUGGUGGUAUGUUUACUCACAGGAUCAGUGACGGUACCCAGUAAAAUCGGCCUUCGGGUCAUAAUUAUAAUCAUGUAAGUUCGAGCGGAAGCCAAAAGAUUUAUUAUAAGAGGGAGUAAGGCGCGCGCCCCGGCAGUGGACACACCGCUCUGAGGGGGAGAUAGCCUUAAACAGCCGCCCGGUCACAUUCCGGACGGACCUGAGAAGAAACACUUGAGUUAUAACUCCAAGAUACCAUACAAGGAGGCAGGAUGGACGUGAGGUGUAACUUGUUUAGUCUUUGCUGGUGACUCGUAUCACUGAGGUGUUGGGCUGGUCCGGUGGCUGAACCUUCUCCAGCUCCCUCUUGUCUGUACCGAGAUAAGGGCUCCACUCUGGUCCAUAUUCCAGUUAUUCUCACAUUAACCAUCCUUAACAAGUUGGAGAAUCAAGCAGGAGUGACUGGAAAAAUGCUUCAAUGGAUAGAAGAGUGCCUACAAAGCCAAAGAAUAACAGCAAGACAGGAAAUUAUUUGAGUAGCAAGACAUUGCCAAUGGUGUCCCACAGGGAUCAGUGCUUGGCCUUAUCUUAUUCCUAACGUAUGCAAAUAAUCAUCUGAAAUGGAUACACUUCUUUCCCUCUGUUUGAUAAUGGAAAAGUUAUGAAGAGGAAACAUAUGAUGGAAGACAAAGAAACUACAAGAUGAUCUAGACAAACUAAAG